CCCAGGCAACCCAAGAUUUUAUUUAUUUAUUAGAGAGAGGGACAGACAAGUAGACCUCACACUGAGCACAAAGCCUGACAUGGGACUCAAUCCCAGGACCCGAAAUUCUGAGCUAAGCCAUAACUCUGAGUUGAAUGAUUAACCAACUGAAACACCCAGGUGCCUGACUUAGGGCAUUCUAUUGUUCUGCACACUUGUUACAGGAUAGAAAUGUGUUGACCACUGAUCUGUUAUAAUAAGGGGCAAAUGUAUUUAAAACAGACUAUACUUCAAUUCCUAUAGAACUAUGUUCACAUUCAUGGUGAUUAAAUAUUAAUUACAUUCCUCUCUCCAUGAAAUACUACCGGGAAAAUAAGAAUUUUAAAUGAUAUUCCUAGGUUCUACCAUGAUGACACUUAUCAGAGACAUCAGUGAUAUCAAAGAAUCGCAUACUAAAAUGGCAUUUUUGCCUGUAAAGGAAAGAAAGCUUGUUUUAAAAGCUUUGCAAAUGUUUUAAUGCUAAAAAUUUAUUCAAACCCUUUAAAAAGAAAGAAGGUACACAACAGAAAGUGUUCUGAGUUAUUUUCAUAAAGAGAUGCUCAAAAUGGAUUGUCUUUACUAAAUGAAAGAAAAAUACACUGAAAUUUAUCCAUGUUGUGUUUAGAGCAAUACAUGUAGCAGAUAACAGGAAGAAUAUUCCUCAUAAUUCUCAACACUCAGUUGCUCACCCUGAAAACUAGACCUUUCUAAACAAACCAGGAAACCUUUGGAUAAGGUUUGCUCGACUAAUAAUCCUUUUCUUCUUUCUGAGUUACUCCUGCUCAUUGCUGUCAGUAAUGGAUUUAAGUGAAAACAGGAAGAAACGUGUAAGCGGAGCCCACAGAUUGCAGUAUGUCACUAUCUUCUUGCUGUUUUUUUCCUUUGGCAUAACAUUUACUCAUACCUAUCUUAACUUCCAGUCUUUACCCCUGUAGUCGAGUAAGAUGCCAGACACGAUUAUAAUUUAUUCUUUUCAAAAGAUAGGAAAAGCCUCUGACUCAGCCAAAUAAACAAAAGCCCCCUUAGCAAUUAGCUGGCCAGUUGUAUGGUUUCUGAGAUCCCCCAUCCUUAUGCAUGGGCACAAUCUGCAUAGCUCCUUCCGUAAAGAGAAUGGAAUGAGUCCCCGGUCCCUGUGAGCAUACAGGGAUGACAACUUUCUGUAAUAAUUGCCUUCUAUUCCAUUCCUGCUUCCCAUAUUUUUAAAAGAAAAUUUUAUCAUGCCAACCCUCGGCUUAGAGCCUCAGCUGAGACCUGACAAAGAGUGUUGUACUUUAUAACAUGGAUGAACAUGGUUUGAGGAAUAAAGAAUAUUUGUAAAACAUGUUGAGGGGCAUAGAGCACACCAUCCUGGGAGCAGGGAGAGGAGGGAGGUUGAAAGUGAGUAGAUGGAAGCAUCUAACUGCUUAAGAUAAGGUCUUAUCUGUGACUUUCCAUGUAAAAAAUUAAUUUUUUCUCGAAGGAGGGAGAGAAAGAAAAUGUAAUGGGGAGAAGAGAUGUGGCCACACCACCCUGUUUGUUCUAUCCCAGUUGUGGACUCAAGUGAUGAAUCCAAUUGCAAGACCGAACAGGUGUGGCUACUGUUUUGCAAACUGGAUUUAGGGAGAAAUGCUUCACCUGUAAUUCUUCAGGGCAAGCUGGUAGACUGGAACCAAGGAACUUGGACAUUUGGAAAGCAGACAACCGCUUCUGGCUGCCUCAGGAAGUUUACAGGAAGAAACACCGUUUCUAACUCUGGACGGUAUUAUUUUUGCCAUUGGUACCUGGAACUAUCACAGCCAUCUUGAGACCAUGGGGUGCCCAGCCCAAGAGGACAAGCUGAUGUGCUGUGGAUGGCAUUGAUGAGAAGGUAAUGAAAAGAAUGCUGUUCAACAUGUUUCCCUUUGUGUCUCAACUGGCAGAAAAUGUGAAGCUCAGUUCUGUGCCCAACCCAGAUUGCCAUUUACUUCAAGCAAAGGUUUCUAGUUUGCUGAGCAUUGAAUGGGAAAAACUCAUGCUAUGUCAAGAUUCUCUGUCUACUCUCACAUGAACUGAAUUGGGAAGAUUGAAAACAGAACAACCCAACUCUUUCAGAGUCUACAAGUACUUUCUGAGGAAUAACAUUUCCAGAUUUCUGCUAAACAUGAUGCAUGUUAAAAGCAGUGCAAAAAAAAAAAAAUGCAGAAGGACACCUUGAAAGCUGUCAUUCAGGGAAAUCCUCACAAGGGGUGUGAAGAAAUGCCCUUUAACUCUUGAGAUAAUUGAUGUCAUCUGGGUAAAUGUAAUUGUAAUAGAAAUACAUGUGCAUAUAUUUAGAUAGAACUUGACUUACUGGCAACUUUAUUAUCAUGGCAGCUGCAGGCUGGAAUUUAUCACUUUCAUAUGACCAUGCUUAGUACCAAAAACAUCAGAAACUGCUAGAUACCAUGUGUACACUUUUUCUUAAAUUGUUGAUUGACCACAUAGAUCAUUUGAAGAGUAGCUAUUCUCCAAAGCUGAAAAGUUAGUUGUGUAUGGAGGUGGCUUCUUGAAUAGCAUGAGUAAGUGGCACUGUUUUCCAAAGUUAUAAGCAGUAGUUAUGAAUAUGCAAUGUGCUUAUCAUCUAAUAUUACUUAGAUGACUUACCUUUCAGUAUUUAUCUUUCAUGUUCUGUUUCUCAAAACCACACAAGAAAGUGCAGGAGAAACUAGUUUAAUACAAUCUAUUAUUUAAUAGUUCAAAGUGACCAUUUGCUACUUAUAAAUAACCUCAUGUCUAUUUGCAUUUGUUGUUUCAAUUUUUACUUCAGGAGCUACAGCGUAUCUGCUUAUGCAAUGGAAUGAUUAACAUGAUUUUGAGUCAAAUUUUUUUUAUCUUGUAACUUCAAAGAACAAGAUAUUAAAAUAUGAAGAAUCUUCUAUUCAUCUUUUUUCUGAUUUUUAAAUUAUUUAUUCUCUGUGCUACACUUAACAAAGCUGCAGUUUGAAAAAGGGAGAUGUUAUCAAGUUGCUUUCCAUCAGUUUCUGUAAAGCUAAAUGUUGACAAGGGCUACUCUGUCACCCUCAGCAGUGUCAGUCUCAUGGAAUGUGCACUAUCUGGAACUAUGGACAUGAAGAUAAAUACCCUGCUUUUAAUGAGCCCAGAACCUAGCACAGAGAUUUCUCAUUUGAUACCUGAGUGGGUCACAGGUAAAAUGACAUGAAGCAUCUUCCAUCAUAUUUCAUCAGCUGAUGAAUUUUGAGAAUGUAGUAGCUACAGAAUGGAUGGCAAUGUAAUAAUAUGUACUCUUCCCGCCCCUGGCACAGAAAGUGAACUUCUAAGUCCCUGAGUCUGUGCCACUGACCCCAUGUCAGGUGAUGCCUUGGAAGAUCCAGCAAGGCACAGUUGAGCUGGCUGCUAGCCACGGUUUUGUCUGGCUAUGUGGACCAUUGCACUUACAACAAAAAAGGAGAUACGAAUUUCAGGAUGUCAAAUCACUACAAAAGUGAAGAAAAACCUUACUUGAGACAUGAAGGCUGGAAUAAAAGUGAAUGAACUCACUUCAAGUUGUCUCAUUUGGGUAUGAGUGUAAUUUUUUAGAACAAGGGGAAAUAUUUGAAGUGAGAAGAAAAUGCUAAGUCAAUUCAAUUGCUGAUGGCAUGAAAAUGCAUUGGCUGAGCAAUGAGGUGGAAACAUAUGCAAUUUUGUGGAUGCCUGGUCAGAAAAUACCUAUGCCUCCAAAGUUUAAAGUCUAAACCAAGCAAUGAAUUUCAGCAUAGGUGCUUGAGUCAAUAAAGGAAUGGUGUGAUUGCUUCCAAAAGGGAAAUUGUUGGCUUCGUGUUAGCAUUUAAGAGAAAACUUGAAGCACAGCUCUAGAAGUAGCUAAGAUUUUUUUCAGAAAAUUUUGUUUAGGUCAUUGAAAGAGAAGGCAACUAUUUUAUUUACAUUUAAAACUGAUGAAAGAGGACUUUGGGAAAGCCAGGACUGUGGCAAAACUACAUUACAUUAUCAAGGAAGGAAAAAAGCAUUGCUGUUUACAGAGCACAUACACAGGACCUUGUUUACAGGAGCUCAGCAAUGCAACUUCAUUGAAAGAGAAGAGUAUGGAAUCAGGAAAAAAAAAAAAGAAUCUCCAUGAAGAGAUGUGACUAUUGUUUACUAAUGGAUUCCAAGUGCCUAGAACAAUCCUUGAUAUGUAGCAGGCAUAUUACUACUGAUGCUCACAGAUGGCCAUGUUUUAAACUGCCCAACUUUUAUAAACCAAGCAGGAGAGGAUCUGGGCCGAACCCAGAGUGAAAUUAAUGUUAGAUCAAAGUGGAUUCGAUUCACACUAAGCAGUGAUUCAUACUAAAGAGACCUGGAAGGAUCACCUGACCAGAAGAUUAGCAGGAGUCAAGAAUGUGAUGUGGUUGUCAAAAGCACGUGUGUUUUGGACUGUGUUAGUAGAGCCAGUACACUCGUCAAGUCACUGAUCAGAUCAUUGGAGCCCGGGUCAGACAGAGCAGUGCCUCACUGUAGGAAAGGCAUUGGCAAUGUUUCCAAGAUUGCUGAGGAAUCUGGAAUGAAUGCAGCAACAGGAAGCUUUUCUUUAGGGAGCAAAUUUACAGUCCAUAAUGUGAAAUCCCUGAGAAGUGAGCAGAGAAAAUGCACUUUCAAAACCAUGCUUUUUCUGGCAAGUGAGUUGCUUGUUAGAAGCUAGAUGUACCACUUCAUUUACUGACUCCAAAGAAGUCUUAAGAGUUGAUAUACCCACCUUGUGACUUUGUUUACAUAUCAGGGGGAAAAAAAAAAAAAGCUCACCUACCAUGUAUUAUCCUCAAUCAACAUUUUGACACUGCCAUAGCAAACUUUCUCAAGAGCUU